rnacentral:rRNA from 1 species
CCUACGGGAGGCAGCAGCGAGGAAUAUUGGUCAAUGGGCGAGAGCCUGAACCAGCCAAGUCGCGUGAAGGAAGAAUGUCCUAUGGAUUGUAAACUUCUUUUGUAAGGGAAUAAAAAGUAUCACGUGUGAUAUAUUGUAUGUACUUUACGAAUAAGGAUCGGCUAACUCCGUGCCAGCAGCCGCGGUAAU